CCUACGGGUGGCAGCAGUGAGGAAUAUUGGUCAAUGGACGAGAGUCUGAACCAGCCAAGUAGCGUGAAGGAUGACUGCCCUAUGGGUUGUAAACUUCUUUUAUAUGGGGAUAAAACGUUCCACGUGUGGGAUUUUGUAUGUACCAUAUGAAUAAGGAUCGGCUAACUCCGUGCCAGCAGCCGCGGUAAUACGGAGGAUCCGAGCGUUAUCCGGAUUUAUUGGGUUUAAAGGGUGCGUAGGUGGAUUGUUAAGUCAGUUGUGAAAGUUUGCGGCUCAACCGCAAAAUUGCAGUUGAAACUGGCAGUCUUGAGUACAGUAGAGGUGGGCGGAAUGCGUGGUGUAGCGGUGAAAUGCUUAGAUAUCACGCAGAACUCCGAUUGCGAAGGCAGUUCACUGGACUGCAACUGACACUGAGGCUCGAAAGUGUGGGUAUCAAACAGGAUUAGAUACCCGGGUAGUC
rnacentral:rRNA from 1 species